UACGGAGGGUGCAAGCGUUAAUCGGAAUUACUGGGCGUAAAGCGCACGCAGGUGGCUGAGUCAGUCGAUUGUGAAAGCCCUGGGCUUAACCUGGGAAUUGCAGUCGAUACUACUCGGCUCGAGUAUGGGAGAGGGCAGUGGAAUUCCCGGUGUAGCGGCGAAAUGCGUAGAUAUCGGGAGGAACAUCAGUGGCGAAGGCGGCUGCCUGGCCCAAUACUGACACUCAGGUGCGACAGCGUGGGGAGCAAACAGG
rnacentral:rRNA from 1 species